AUAACCCAUUUCGAUUUCUGCCGUAGCAUACAUGUUUCACUUCCCAAUUUUAAGUACAUGUACAUAUAGUACCUAACAAUUCCCGGCCCCGGUUGUAAACACAAGUGCAGCUUUAUAUUUAUCUGAUACUAAUAAAUAACUAAGAAAUAAGAGAGUAGAUUUAAGUUUGGUAUGAGCUAUAUACACUGACUAAUGUUACCCAUACAUGUCCCUGAUCAUAUAGAAUAAGAUCGAAUUGUGUGUGAUUUGAUAGGCUUGAGCUAUGCCAAGUAAGCUCAGUAGAAAAGGAUGGUAGCUUCUUCCUAGGAACAAGAAUAGUGUCUUGAUGUAGAGAUUUAAUGUCUCAACAAUGUCAAACAAUGGAAUAUAUAUAUUCCCUAGAGCGCACGUUAACAUUGUCACUAAAUUAAUAGAACAACAGCUAAACUAUGUAACUUUUCAAAAGUGGAGUGAGAGUUCUGGGAAGGAUAAAAUACCGAUUAGUUUGUGUCUUCAAUGAUUCUCAAGCUCUUAUCACAAUUCAGCUUCAUCAACUUGAAUGGAGUAUUGCAGAUGGAACAUACAAACUGUCAUAGACAUGUUGAGUUAUCACUCAACUCACCAAUUGACUGCACAAAACUAAAACUCAACAUCCCAAAGC
rnacentral:lncRNA from 1 species